rnacentral:rRNA from 1 species
AUUGAACGCUAGCGGGAUGCCUUACACAUGCAAGUCGAACGGCAGCACGGAUUUCGGUCUGGUGGCGAGUGGCGAACGGGUGAGUAAUGUAUCGGAACGUGCCCAGUAGCGGGGGAUAACUACGCGAAAGCGUAGCUAAUACCGCAUACGCCCUACGGGGGAAAGCAGGGGAUCGUAACACCUUGCACUAUUGGAGCGGCCGGUAUCGGAUUAGCUAGUUGGUGAGGUAAUGGCUCACCAAGGCGACGAUCCGUAGCUGGUUUGAGAGGACGCCAAGCCACACUGGGACUGAGACACGGCCCAGCAUCCUACGGGAGGCAGCAGUGGGGAAUUUUGGACAAGGGGGGAAACCCUGAUCCAGCCAUCCCGCGUGCGGGAUGAAGGCCUUCGGGUUGUAAAGCCCUUUUGGAAGGAAAGAAAUGGCGUGUGUUAAUACCAUGCGCAGAUGACGGUACCUGCAGAAUAAGCACCGGCUAACUACGUGCCAGCCGCCGCCGUAAAAC